AUGUCAUGUCAUCUACAUAUUGGUUGAAGAGGUUAGGGUCAGAGAAGGUUUUUAUGAAAAAUGGAUGUAUAUCCUAUGUCGAUAAAGACAUUUUUACUCGCGCACAAGCUGUUGGAGAAUCUCUAAAGUAGUUCCUUUUCUUAAACCCUAAUUCGCAGUCUCAAUUUUUUUACUGCCUCCUCUCAUCCGAGUCCCCUCCCCUCACCGUUUUAGUUUUCUCGCGCAGUUUCUACUUCAUUCUCCCUGAUUGAUCGUGUUCUGAUUUAAUCUCAGUUUCAGUCCACCAAAGAAUAUCUUUUGCUUUCUUAAUUUUGUGUCACAGGUAAACGAUUAUGGAACGUAGGAAGAAAUCCUAAAAUCAUAGAAACCGAGAUUGUGAAGCAUGUAUUUAUUACAUGGGGAGCACAAAGACUGUCUUAUUUAUCACGAAUCAGUGAUCCAUUGAUAAACCUCACUUUCCCCCUUCAGUGGACAAGCAACUAGACAACAUGCUACGAAGACGGGACAAAAGUAUUUGCAUAAAAGUCGUAUGAACCAGAGCAAUGUUAUGAGAAUCUCCCAGCUGAACCAGUAUGUGACCAAUCGCUUAAGUAGCUAUCGCCACUUCAUUAUAGUUGACGUUAUGCUUCUAAUAUAAUUUAUAUACAUUCAAUUCACAUCCAUUGCUUUGUGAAGUCAGAAGUUAGCCGUUUAAAAGAGAGUGUAUUCUUACUGGGAAAUUAUUUGGGGAGAUCAAUCUUUAUGGGGUUUGAAACAGGAGACGGAAAUACUUGAUAAGCAGCCUUUUUGACUGAUAGAAACAAGCAAGUCUUGAGUCGUCUCAAGUUGCGAGAACAACGGGUGGAGCUUCAUCCUCCAUUGACUAGAAGGGAAGCAAAACAAAGCGGAGAAGAGCAUCGUCUGUUAGAGCAAGUCUUAUGGUGGAAGAAUUCCAUUUUCCAUCCCACCACAGUAUUUGGAGUCGUUCAUGGAGCUCAAGUCUAAUGGUGGAAUUACAAAAACGCUAAUAGAAAUAGCGCCUAACGCUAAUAAGAAUAGCGUUUUGAGAAAGUCAAUAAGAAUAGCGCUCAUGGAUAAAGAGAAUAACGUUUUUAUUUUUGUAUAGGUCCACUAAUAGUAACGUGGCAGAGCCACAGAAUAGCAAAAUUUCUAGGUCUACUUUGAC